rnacentral:rRNA from 2 species
UUAAGUUAUUAAGGGCGCACGGUGGAUGCCUUGGCACUAGAAGCCGAUGAAGGACGUUACUAACGACGAUAUGCUUUGGGGAGCUGUAAGUAAGCUUUGAUCCAGAGAUUUCCGAAUGGGGAAACCCAGCAUGAGUUAUGUCAUGUUAUCGAUAUGUGAAUACAUAGCAUAUCAGAAGGCACACCCGGAGAACUGAAACAUCUUAGUACCCGGAGGAAGAGAAAGAAAAUUCGAUUCCCUUAGUAGCGGCGAGCGAAACGGGAAGAGCCCAAACCAAAAAGCUUGCUUGUUGGGGUUGUAGGACACUCUAUACGGAGUUACAAAGGACGACAUUAGACGAAUCAUCUGGAAAGAUGAAUCAAAGAAGGUAAUAAUCCUGUAGUCGAAAAUGUUGUCUCUCUUGAGUGGAUCCUGAGUACGACGGAGCACGUGAAAUUCCGUCGGAAUCUGGGAGGACCAUCUCCUAAGGCUAAAUACUCUCUAGUGACCGAUAGUGAACCAGUACCGUGAGGGAAAGGUGAAAAGCACCCCGGAAGGGGAGUGAAAUAGAACCUGAAACCGUGUGCUUACAAGUAGUCAGAGCCCGUUAAUGGGUGAUGGCGUGCCUUUUGUAGAAUGAACCGGCGAGUUACGAUUUGAUGCAAGGUUAAGCAGUAAAUGUGGAGCCGUAGCGAAAGCGAGUCUGAAUAGGGCGUUUAGUAUUUGGUCGUAGACCCGAAACCAGGUGAUCUACCCUUGGUCAGGUUGAAGUUCAGGUAACACUGAAUGGAGGACCGAACCGACUUACGUUGAAAAGUGAGCGGAUGAACUGAGGGUAGCGGAGAAAUUCCAAUCGAACCUGGAGAUAGCUGGUUCUCUCCGAAAUAGCUUUAGGGCUAGCCUCAAGUGAUGAUUAUUGGAGGUAGAGCACUGUUUGGACGAGGGGCCCCUCUCGGGUUACCGAAUUCAGACAAACUCCGAAUGCCAAUUAAUUUAACUUGGGAGUCAGAACAUGGGUGAUAAGGUCCGUGUUCGAAAGGGAAACAGCCCAGACCACCAGCUAAGGUCCCAAAAUAUAUGUUAAGUGGAAAAGGAUGUGGCGUUGCCCAGACAACUAGGAUGUUGGCUUAGAAGCAGCCAUCAUUUAAAGAGUGCGUAAUAGCUCACUAGUCGAGUGACACUGCGCCGAAAAUGUACCGGGGCUAAACAUAUUACCGAAGCUGUGGAUUGUCCUUUGGACAAUGGUAGGAGAGCGUUCUAAGGGCGUUGAAGCAUGAUCGUAAGGACAUGUGGAGCGCUUAGAAGUGAGAAUGCCGGUGUGAGUAGCGAAAGACGGGUGAGAAUCCCGUCCACCGAUUGACUAAGGUUUCCAGAGGAAGGCUCGUCCGCUCUGGGUUAGUCGGGUCCUAAGCUGAGGCCGACAGGCGUAGGCGAUGGAUAACAGGUUGAUAUUCCUGUACCACCUAUAAUCGUUUUAAUCGAUGGGGGGACGCAGUAGGAUAGGCGAAGCGUGCGAUUGGAUUGCACGUCUAAGCAGUAAGGCUGAGUAUUAGGCAAAUCCGGUACUCGUUAAGGCUGAGCUGUGAUGGGGAGAAGACAUUGAGUCUUCGAGUCGUUGAUUUCACACUGCCGAGAAAAGCCUCUAGAUAGAAAAUAGGUGCCCGUACCGCAAACCGACACAGGUAGUCAAGAUGAGAAUUCUAAGGUGAGCGAGCGAACUCUCGUUAAGGAACUCGGCAAAAUGACCCCGUAACUUCGGGAGAAGGGGUGCUCUUUAGGGUUAACGCCCAGAAGAGCCGCAGUGAAUAGGCCCAAGCGACUGUUUAUCAAAAACACAGGUCUCUGCUAAACCGUAAGGUGAUGUAUAGGGGCUGACGCCUGCCCGGUGCUGGAAGGUUAAGAGGAGUGGUUAGCUUCUGCGAAGCUACGAAUCGAAGCCCCAGUAAACGGCGGCCGUAACUAUAACGGUCCUAAGGUAGCGAAAUUCCUUGUCGGGUAAGUUCCGACCCGCACGAAAGGCGUAACGAUUUGGGCACUGUCUCAACGAGAGACUCGGUGAAAUCAUAGUACCUGUGAAGAUGCAGGUUACCCGCGACAGGACGGAAAGACCCCGUGGAGCUUUACUGUAGCCUGAUAUUGAAAUUCGGCACAGCUUGUACAGGAUAGGUAGGAGCCUUUGAAACGUGAGCGCUAGCUUACGUGGAGGCGCUGGUGGGAUACUACCCUAGCUGUGUUGGCUUUCUAACCCGCACCACUUAUCGUGGUGGGAGACAGUGUCAAGCGGGCAGUUUGACUGGGGCGGUCGCCUCCUAAAAGGUAACGGAGGCGCUCAAAGGUUCCCUCAGAAUGGUUGGAAAUCAUUCAUAGAGUGUAAAGGCAUAAGGGAGCUUGACUGCGAGACCUACAAGUCGAGCAGGGUCGAAAGACGGACUUAGUGAUCCGGUGGUUCCGCAUGGAAGGGCCAUCGCUCAACGGAUAAAAGCUACCCCGGGGAUAACAGGCUUAUCUCCCCCAAGAGUUCACAUCGACGGGGAGGUUUGGCACCUCGAUGUCGGCUCAUCGCAUCCUGGGGCUGUAGUCGGU